UAGCGUCUUCAGGGCGGGGUGAAAUUCCCCACCGGCGGUAGGUUGAAGGGCCCACGUCCGACAACGAGCCCGCGAGCGCUCACGGUGGUCGCCGUGAGGUCAGCAGAUCCGGUCGAAUGCCGGAGCCGACGGUUGGAAGCGGGCAACUGCUUCCUCACAGUCCGGAUAAAGAGAAGACGGCA
rnacentral:ncRNA from 2 species